GAUGAACGCUGGCGGCGUGCCUAAUACAUGCAAGUCGAGCGAACAGAUGAGGAGCUUGCUCCUCUGACGUUAGCGGCGGACGGGGGAGUAACACGUGGAUAACCUACCUAUAAGACUGGGAUAACUUCGGGAAACCGGAGCUAAUACCGGAUAAUAUAUUGAACCGCAUGGUUCAAUAGUGAAAGACGGUUUUGCUUUCACUUAUAGAUGAAUCCGAGCCGGAUUAGCUAGUUGGUAAGGUAACGGCUUACCAAGGCAACGAUGCGUAGCCGACCUGAGAGGGUGAUCGGCCACACUGGAACUGAGACACGGUCCCGACUCCUACGGGAGGCAGCAGUAGGGAAUCUUACGCAAUGGGCGAAAGCUUGACGGAGCAACGCCGCGUGAGUGAUGAAGGUCUUCGGAUCGUAAAACUCUGUUAUUAGGGAAGAACAAAUGUGUAAGUAACUGUGCACGUCUUGACGGUACCUAAUCAGAAAGCCACGGCUAACUACGUG
rnacentral:rRNA from 1 species